GCGAAUACCGGAGAAUGUUAUCACGGGAGACACACGGCGGGUGCUAACGUCCGUCGUGAAGAGGGAAACAACCCAGACCGCCAGCUAAGGUCCCAAAGUCAUGGUUAAGUGGGAAACGAUGUGGGAAGGCCCAGACAGCCAGGAUGUUGGCUUAGAAGCAGCCAUCAUUUAAAGAAAGCGUAAUAGCUCACUGGUCGAGUCGGCCUGCGCGGAAGAUGUAACGGGGCUAAACCAUGCACCGAAGCUGCGGCAGCGAACGUAUCACUUAAAGCGAUUCAGCGGGUUACGAUUGACGGAGCGAAGCGACGUCAAAGCGUAUACAAAGUCGAGUCGGUUUAAGGAUACGUUCGUUGGGUAGGGGAGCGUUCUGUAAGCCUGUGAAGGUGGCCUGUGAGGGUUGCUGGAGGUAUCAGAAGUGCGAAUGCUGACAUAAGUAACGAUAAAGCGGGUGAAAAGCCCGCUCGCCGGAAGACCAAGGGUUCCUGUCCAACGUUAAUCGGGGCAGGGUGAGUCGACCCCUAAGGCGAGGCCGAAAGGCGUAGUCGAUGGGAAACGGGUUAAUAUUCCCGUACUUGGUGUUACUGCGAAGGGGGGACGGAGAAGGCUAUGUUGGCCGGGCGACGGUUGUCCCGGUUUAAGCGUGUAGGUGUGUGUUCCAGGUAAAUCCGGUUCACUUUAACACUGAGGCGUGACGACGAGGCACUACGGUGCUGAAGCAACAAAUGCCCUGCUUCCAGGAAAAGCCUCUAAGCAUCAGGUAACAUCAAAUCGUACCCCAAACCGACACAGGUGGUCAGGUAGAGAAUACCAAGGCGCUUGAGAGAACUCGGGUGAAGGAACUAGGCAAAAUGGUGCCGUAACUUCGGGAGAAGGCACGCUGACACGUAGGUGAAGUGAUUUACUCAUGGAGCUGAAGUCAGUCGAAGAUACCAGCUGGCUGCAACUGUUUAUUAAAAACACAGCACUGUGCAAACA
rnacentral:rRNA from 1 species